AUUGAACGCUGGCGGCAGGCCUAACACAUGCAAGUCGACCGAGUGGCGGACGGGUGAGUAAUGUCUGGGAAACUGCCUGAUGGAGGGGGAUAACUACUGGAAACGGUAGCUAAUACCGCAUACCAUCAGAUGUGCCCAGAUGGGAUUAGCUUGUUGGUGGGGUAACGGCUCACCAAGGCGACAAUCCCUAGCUGGUCUGAGAGGAUGACCAGCCACACUGUAGCGAUGUCACGGUCCAGGCUCCUACGGUAGGCAGCAGUGGAGAAUAUUGCACAAUGGGCGCAAGCCUGAUGCAGCCAUGCCGCGUGUAUGAAGAAGGCCUUCGGGUUGUAAAGUACUUUCAGCGGGGAGUCGUUACCCGCAGAAGGGGCAGCGGGUAACUCCGUGCCAGCCACCGCGGUAAUAC
rnacentral:rRNA from 1 species